UCAAACUUGGUCAUUUAGAGGAAGUAAAAGUCGUAACAAGGUUUCCGUAGGUGAACCUGCGGAAGGAUCAUUACCAGGUGCCGCCGUUCGCCCCACGGUGUCCGGCGGAUAACCCCCACCCUUGCAUACGAGUCCCGUUGUCCGGGCGGUCCGGCCCCGUGUCGGUCGCCCGGAGGUUCGCCCGCGACCCGCUUGCGUGUCCGGCCGCGACAACCCAACAUCUGUGGAUCUCAUAUUGUCUCUGACAGUUUUCUUGCAAUAAAAGCAAAACCUUCAACAAUGGAUCUCUUGGUUCCGGCAUCGAUGAAGAACGCAGC
rnacentral:misc_RNA from 1 species